UGAAACCCCAAGCUGGUCGGUCUGUAUAGUUCCACAUGGAUUUUUCUUAAAAUCGCCUGAUUAGAACUUAAGAUUUUCCAAUUACUACUCAUUUACUAAAUGACCUAAUGACUAAAUUUGGUGGAUAUUUUUCAGCCCUUUCUUUUCCUGACGUCUCAGCAUUCUGAGACACCCAAACCUUUUUUUGGCCUUCCCUAAACUCCCACGGCCACCUCUUCUGGUUUCCUCCCCUCCUCUGCAGGGUGCCACAGUCCCCUUGCUGGCAUUUGCUCUGCACCCUACCCCCCAGUCUUAGGGUCAUCUAAUCGUCUGGCCUCAGGAGACUGCCAAAGGUCGCACUGGGUUUCAGUUUGACUCCGAAGGUUAGAGGGCAGGUCCUCGGAAAUUAGGCACCAUAACAGAGGUAACAGUUAACGGCAAGGGCUUUGGGGCUGACACUCGGGUUUAGAUCCCAGUCACUAGCUGUGAGGGCUCAGAAGCCAAGCUUCGGCUUUCUCACGUGUAAGACGGCGAUGGCAGCCACAGCACUGGCAGGACCACGAAAUGAAAUUUGCAGGUAAACUAAUCAGACUCAAAGUAACUGUUAACUACAGAAAAGGACUCCAGUCCGCUUACUUUUCCUCCUGCGGUCAGGACUUAAACUGCUUCAUUUAAGAGGCUUGAGCAAAUGGAAAAACCAGGUGCCUUUCUUAAGGCGAGGAUGUCCAGGCAGCCCCCCGAGCAGAUGUUCCGCAGGCGGGUCUGUAGAAGUCCAGCCUCCAGCCACGGACAAGCUCAGCGGCAUAAAUGGUCUUCGAGGGGCAAACAGACUACUGUGCGGAGCUGCGCCCAGUCCUGUCCGCUCUGUCUGCUGUCUCACUGUCCAUCCGCAGAACCCGCAAUACCCACAAAUCCCUUUCCCCUGCAUUGUCAGCAGCUCUUGACCUGAGCCCAUAAAUCCUGUCCACUCCACCUUCAGAUGGGCCAGAAGCCACCACUCCUCACCUCCACUCUGGUCCACGCCGUCACCUCUGGCCAGUUCUCACAGCUGUCCCCAGGCUCACCUUCCUGUUCCUGCCCCUGUCCUUGGUCUGCUCUCUGUCUCUCUACCAGAAAAAACACUUUUAGAAUUCUCUCACCCUUUUGUUCAAAUCCCUUAUCCAUGGUAUCUCCUCUCCAUCUCGUCCCCUUGGGAUUCCUCUGAAAUACUGCAAACACCACAGUGCCUUUAAGUCUCUGAGCUUUUAUGUUUGCUGCUCUGCCAGGAACACUCUUCCCCUGCGAGUGUCCGUGACCUGCUCGGGCCUUUACGAAAAUAUCACUAUUUUGGCAGCAUCGUCCCAGACAUUAGUUAAAACUGAACUCUCCAAACCAGAACUCCACAGAGCUACACAUCAUAGGGGCAAAAUGUUUACGCUCUCAUUUCCCAAUCCUCUCUAUCAGUGGUCCCCGCUUCAUAUUCUUUUAUAGCACUUACCACCAUCUAACACUAUAUAUUUGACUGACUUACUCUGUUUAGAGUUCGACUGACCGCACUAAAAUAUAAGUGCCAUACGUGGGAGGAUAUUUUUGUCACUUUUCAUCACUGCUACAUUCCUGGUGACUUGAAUGGUGCCCGACAUGUAGAAUGAGUGGAUACAUUCGAAUCUGAAGGUCAACUACCGGAGCAUUCUAGAACAGUAUGCUCAACAUUUUACUGGCACAGCAACCGACUGAACGGACUGUGGGGAAUAUCUUCUGGGUGUUGGGCAGUCCCCUUCCACUAGGCGCUGACAAAUGCUUAUUAAGUAUCUACUAUGGGUUUGCUCCCAAAGAGCAAGGUCUUCUUCCGCCUUGAAUCUGGGAAAGAAGGGCUAAUAGAGAAGGACCCCGACACCCUGAGGACCGGGGCAGGGUCUACGCACAUCUCCAGAUCUCCUCUCAAGGGGAAAACACAGACUUGUAUGGGAUUCUUGCAGGUGAUCUAGUUUAGGAUCUAGCACCUGAAGAUGGAGUGCUUCCCUGGAGCUGAAAUGCAGUGAGCCACGCCCAGCCGGCAGUGGGCCUGUCCUGGGACAGCACCACAGAUCAAACAGCAACAAAGGAAGUUUAAUCUCUGUACUUUGUAUUCGUAUUCCAGAAAUUCCUGAAACUCCCAGGGUGGCUGAAUAAAAAUUAGGCUGCUUUUUUUUU